GAAUAUUGGACAAUGGGCGAAAGCCUGAUCCAGCCAUGCCGCGUGUGUGAAGAAGGUCUUCGGGUUGUAAAGCACUUUAAGUUGGGAGGAAGGGUUGUAACCUAAUACGUUGCAACUUUGACGUUACCGACCGAGUAAGCACCGGCUAACUUCGUUCCAGCAGCCGCGGUAAAACGAAGGGUGCAAGCGUUAAUCGGAAUUACUGGGCGUAAAGCGCGCGUAGGUGGUUUGAUAAGUUGGAUGUGAAAGCCCCGGGCUCAACCUGGGAAUUGCAUCCAAAACUGUCUGACUAGAGUACGGUAGAGGGUAGUGGAAUUUCCUGUGUAGCGGUGAAAUGCGUAGAUAUAGGAAGGAACACCAGUGGCGAAGGCGACUACCUGGACUGAUACAGACACUGAGGUGCGAAAGCGUGGGGAGCAAACAGG
rnacentral:rRNA from 1 species